GACGAACGCUGGCGGCGUGCUUAACACAUGCAAGUCGGACGGGCAGCACCGGAAGGUUCGCUGGAAGGUGCUGUUAGUGGCGGACGGGUGAGUAACGCGUGAGGACAUGGCUCCAGGAGGGGGAUAACGUUUGGAAACGGACGCUAAGACCCCGUAUGCCGGAGGGUGAAAAUGGCGCAAGCCAGCCUGGAGAGUGACUCGCGUCCUAUCAGCUAGUUGGCGGGGUGAAGGCCCACCAAGGCGAUGACGGGUAGCCGACCUGAGAGGGUGGCCGGCCACACUGGAACUGAGAUACGGUCCAGACUCCUACGGGAGGCAGCAGUGGGGAAUAUUGGGCAAUGGGCGCAAGCCUGACCCAGCGACGCCGCGUGGGGGAAGAAGUCUUUCGGGAUGUAAACCCUUGUUGUACGGGACGAAACGAAUGACGGUACCGUACGAGGAAGCCCCGGCAAACUACGUGCCAGCAGCCGCGGUAAGAGUACUCUAU
rnacentral:rRNA from 1 species